GACGAACGCUGGCGGCGUGCUUAACACAUGCAAGUCGAGCGGAGCGGCGAACGGGUGAGUAACGCGUGAGUAACUGCCCCCCUCUCUGGGCUAACAGUUGGAAACGGCUGCUAAUACCGGAUAGUGGGGGUUGACUCGCGUCCUAUCAGCUUGUUGGUGGGGUAGUGGCCUACCAAGGCGACGACGGGUCGCCGGCCGGAGUGGGCGACCGGCCACAUUGGGCUGAGAUACGGACCAAACUCAUAAGGGAGGCAGCAGUGGGGAAGAUUGCACAAGGGGGGAAACGCUGAUGCAGCAACGACGCGUGCGGGAUGACGGCAUUCGGGUUGUAAACCGCAUUAAGCCAUGACGCGGUAGUGGCAGAAGAAGCACCGGCUAACUACGUGCCAGCAGCCGCGGUAAUUC
rnacentral:rRNA from 1 species